rnacentral:rRNA from 1 species
GACGAACGCUGGCGGCGUGCCUAAUACAUGCAAGUAGAACGCUGAAGGAGGAGCUUGCUUCUCUGGAUGAGUUGCGAACGGGUGAGUAACGCGUAGGUAACCUGCCUGGUAGCGGGGGAUAACUAUUGGAAACGAUAGCUAAUACCGCAUAAUAGCAGUUGUUGCAUGACAACUGUUUGAAAGGUGCAAUUGCACCACUACCAGAUGGACCUGCGUUGUAUUAGCUAGUUGGUGGGGUAACGGCUCACCAAGGCGACGAUACAUAGCCGACCUGAGAGGGGGGACGGCAACAGUGGGACUGAGACACGGCCCAAGCCCCGAGGGGAGGAAGGAGGAGGGAAUUUUCGAGAAGGGGCGGAAGUCUGACCGAGCAACGGCGGGGGGGGGAAGAAGGUUUGCGGAUCGUAAAGCCUUUUUGUAGGGAAAGAACGAGUGGGGGAGGGGAAAGUUCACACUGUGACGGUAUCUUACCAAAAAGGGACGGCUAACUACG